AGUCCACCAGGACCAACACCCCGUCACACCACCAAGACAGAGCCAGUGCCGCCGCCUGACACGCCGUCACCGGCCACCCGCCGCCGCUCCGGUCUCCGCCCUCAAGUCCCGCAGGCCGCAGCCCCGCCGCGGUGCCGCCUCUCCGCCCGUCGCCGCCGCCCGAAGAUCAAUCAGCGGAUUGGCAGCGAAAGGCGUGCGGCUGCAAGCCUACAAUGGUCGAAUUGGCUGAGAAGAUCUGAAGGUGAGAAGAGAAGUUAAUCAUGUAUACUGAUUUCACUUUUCUACUUCUGUAUAUUUCAGGUCGGACCCUGCAUCAGUACAAAGAACUGAUAUGCCAGAUGGUUGGUUGCUGACCCAGUUGAUUUGCUUUCACCUUGAUGAAGGCCUUGUCUUGAAACCAUAUGGAGACUGUGAUUGUUGGAUUUAUCCUGCUUCUUCCAUGAAAAUGUAGGAAUUAUUAUGGUGGUCUGUCGUUUUUUUUUGCAUGUAUCAUAUCUUUUUGUUUCAUUUGGUCAAUACUGGCUUGAGUCUUUUUUUUAAGGUAGCUUCCUGGUUCUCUAUAGAGGGUACUCGCCUGGGUUAGAAAUUGUAGCACUUUUUCAAAUAACCUGUUGGCUUCCAUCCU